GACGAAGGAUGCAAGCGUUAUCCGGAUUCAUUGGGUUUAAAGGGUGCGUAGGCGGACUGGUAAGUCAGUGGUGAAAUCUCUUUGCUUAACAAAGAAACUGCCAUUGAUACUGCUAGUCUAGAGUAUAGAUGACGUUGGCGGAAUAUGACAUGUAGUGGUGAAAUACUUAGAUAUGUCAUAGAACACCGAUUGCGAAGGCAGCUAACGAAACUAUAAACUGACGCUGAGGCACGAAAAGUGCGGGGAUCAAACAGG
rnacentral:rRNA from 1 species